rnacentral:lncRNA from 1 species
AAAAGUACAGCAAGUCCACCGACCGAAGACCUAUCGCAACUGCAGAGAUGGCCAAUUCCUGCAAAUUGGAACCCCAUUCCAUUUAUUCCCAGUUUAAAAGACAAUGCUUUCUAUGUUGUUAGGGACUACGUGCAUAUAUUCUCAUCAUGGGAAGAUUAUUGUGAAGACAAACACCAUUUUCACAUCUUCAUGUCCAACUUAUGUGUAAGUGCUAUUAUUCAUGGUUAUUAUUUUCCUGUUUUCUGCUGAUUGAACACAUCAAUGAUUUACAUUACAUUGUUGUAACUAGACGAGGGUCAAUCUGGAUAGUCAUGACGAGCAAAGCUUGCUUGUGCUAUUCAAGGAAGCAUUGUAGCAGUAUUGGUGUUACCUGAGGAAAUCACACUUUGAUGGAAAGUCUACAAACGAAUUUCCGGUGAAGUCUCCUGUGCUAAAUUUAGAAGACAUUGAAUGGAAAAACCUUGUUAUGCACUGGUCUCGUUCCCAGGAUGAGGUACUGUCUAUGAAAUCACAUGACAAUUUGAACUUCUACUUUUCCGCAUGUGCCUUACGGAUCUUUUUUGCAGGAAAUCUGCUCGAAGAAGAAUUCCGGUUUGACAAGAACGAUAGGAUAUCACAAAUAUGCUGCCCGCUGCUUUGCUUUUAUUAGUACCUGUUGUCCUGUAUCACUGUACUUGCAUACAUACCUGGUUCAUUAUGUGACAGCAGUAUGCAUGAUAGCUUGCUUAUCAAUUGUUCGCUCCAAAUUAUCUUAUCUGUAUGAAUGGUUACAUUAGUGUAGAAUAUAUCCAAUGCCAAUGUUUUUUUCAGCUCUGCAUUGUUCUUGUAAGUACAUGUUGUCCUUUAUCAGUGUACUUAUAAUGACAGGUAGGUGUUCAUGUACCAUCACUCUGCAGCUUAUUUUCCUUUGUCCUCCAUUUUCUACACAUCAGAUCUAUAUUUACUCUUACCAUAAGGUUGGUACUGAAGAAGUUUAGCUGUGCAUUACUCUUGGUUGUACCUUUUGCCUGUAUCGUUGCACUUACAUUUAUAGCUACUUGGUUAUGUAGCAUCACUCUUCAUCUUAUCUUAAAUAUUCUCCAUUUUUCGUAUAUUAUCACAUCUAUAUUUACUCUUAACAAAAUGUAGAAUGAAGGCAAUGCUUUUGAAGAAGAUUCUGUGGUAAACUUCUUGAAUUGCCCCCCCCCCCAUCAGCAUGGACAAGUCCUUUAUAGAGCCUGUCUUCACCAAUAAUGUAAGUUUGUCCAUCUCAAGCCUCCAAACUUUGUUGUAUAUAUUUGGUUAGGCAUGACUGCAACAGCUGUUUAUUUUUGGUGUUUGCAUCAAAUUGCUUGUUUAAAGUUUAUUAUAUGUAGUUCAUAAACAAAAGUUCGUCAUUUCUUAAUUUAAGUUUUCAGUUGUACAACCAAGUUCCUUCUUCAUACCAUGUAAAUUAAACUAUACAGAGCAAGUGAUCUUCUUUUGCACUGCAUGUAUGCUUCUGUUCUUCAUCUGUAAUCCAGUGGUGUGGUGAACCUACCCACUACAACACAGUGUCAUAUUCUGCAAUGUCUUAACUAUGAACAAUGUCAUAUCAUUCUACUAUUAUUUAAACCGUCUCUUUAUAUGCCAAUCUGAAAUGGUAUAAAUUGACAACACACUAACCAUUGAUACUUAUGAGUUCUUGAUCUGUAAUCCAGUGGUGUCGUGAAGCUGCCAACUCCUUCACAAUGUCAUUUCCUGCCAUGUCUUGACCUGAACAAUACCAUAUUGUGUUAAUGCAAAUUUAAACUGUGUCACUUUAUUCGUCGGUAAGAAAUGUGAUGAAUUGUCAGCACUGAUACUUUUAUGUGCAAAACCUAUCAUCUGUCUGCUUGUUUAUCUUUCAGAGUGAGGAAGAUAUAAGUGUUGAACAAGUGCAGUCUCAUCAUCUUGCUCAGCUGCUUGCCCUGCAGCUCCCCAGCAGGGGUAACCUUUCUUGAACUCUAUUGAAGUGCUGUCGGUUUUGUAUAUUAUUUUGUCGGCGUGUUUAUUUGCACUGGUGGCGAUCUUUGAUGCCCAGUGUAUGUAAUCUGCUGUCUGCUUGUGCUUUAUUAUCAUAGUGGCGAACUUUGAUACCCAGUGGAUGUAAUAUGCCGUAAUUUCUUUAUUGUAUAGUCUAAGUUUUUUCUUAUUCACGAUGUUGCAGUUAUUACUGUAUAUAUAUCCUGUCUUCGCAGUAAACCGGCCAAACCAUAAAAUUACGGUACAUAAUCGGGCCGUCAUGCAAUCACGAUGUAGGUUGGGCCUGAAAACGUGCCGAUCAGCUCAUGGGCCGGCAGCAGCCCGAAAUGAACCCCGGCCCAUGAUUGUGCGAAUCUAAUCACGGGCUUUUAACAGGCCGAAAAAUUGUCUCGGUCCUUGUUUGGCCCAAUCAGAUAUCAGCUGCGAGCAGGCCGGAUGCAAACCGGGCCGUAGUUAGGCCCAACUGUAUGACGGGCUUUUAACAGGCUGAAAUUAAUAUAGGGCCGAAAUGUUAAACAGGCCCUUAACAGGGCAAAACUAAUAUCAGGCCGAAUUACUAAGUGGGCUUUAGCAAGUCGGCCCAAAAGCAUAGUGUCCAGUUGACGGGCCGAAUCUGAUAUGGGCCAUAAUUGAGCCCAAAGCCUCUUAAAGGGUCGGACCUGAUCUGGGCCGUAAUUUGGCCCAGAACAUGGUAGGCCUUUAACGGGUCGGAUCUCAUAUGGGCCACUAUUAGGCCCGGAGCGUGGCAGGCCAUUAAUGGACCGGAUCAAAUAUGGGCCGGCAUUUGGCCCAAAACGUGGCAGGCAGUUAAUGGGCCGGCCUACUAGGGUCCACAAAAUCUUGUGGGCCUACAUCUAGGCCGGCCCAUUAAUGUCGGUGAAAUCUCGUGGGCCUUUAGCUGGGCCGGCCCAUUAUGACCCACAAGAAUCUUGUGGGCUUUACCUGGGUCGGCCCAUUAUGGCACAAAAAAAUCUUGUGGGCCUUUACCUGGGCCGACCCAUUAUGUCCAGCCAAAUCUUGUGGGCCUUUAGCUGGGCCAGCCCAUCAUGGUCCGCAAAAUAUCGUGCGCCUUUAGCUGGGCUGGCCCAUUAUGUCCGCAAAAUCUUGUGGGCCUUCAGUUGGGCCGGCCCAUUAUGGUCCGCAAAAUCUUGUGGGCCUUCAGUUGGGCCGGCCUAUUUAAACUUGAUGGGCCGGUCCACGUGUCAAACAUAUCAUAGGCGCGUCUCGCCCAUUGGAUGAGUUGACACGUGUCUCCUCCAGCCAAUGAUGAUUUUACACGUGGAAAAUCCCCAUUGGUCGGGGCUGUUAACAGGUUAUCGGAUCCAAAACCCAACCCGAUAGCUUAACGACGUUUCGUUAUGGUGGAUGCCACGUGUCAGUCACCCUUGACGAAAGCACUUCUGUGACGCGUGAUUUAUUGUCAUGAAAGUGGACACUUCCGUGAUGAUAAUUUUGGUAAUGUCAUGGAACACUUCUACGACAGCACAUGUAUGACUAUCUUGAUUCUGUCAUAAAUUUGUCAUGGAUGUACAUGCAUGAUAAAAAAAGCGACCUACUGUGACAAACACGUAUCAUCACGGAGGUGUAUUUUUUUUGUAGUGACGUAUUUUGUUGUUCCAUAUGUGUAUUGGGGUAAGCCCGGCAACCGGUUUAUCCCACACCUCCUUCACCAUUUGAUAGAAUCCAUCUCGAUGCAACCAACCAAGUUCAAACUUGAACUUGCGUCUGUGUUGUAGUCGAGGUAAUCCAGUGGUUAAGAGGAUGGGUGCAUGGUCUGAGAUAGCCUCUAUACGAGGCAGAGCAUGAACAGAAACCAUUGGGAAUUUGGAUUCCCAGUCGGUAUCCAUUAAAACGCGAUAUAAUUUCUCAUAUGUCGGCUCUGGAAGACUAUUCGCCCAAGUGAAUUGUCUUCCAAUCAUGGAAACCUCUCGCAAAUCUAGACCGUCUAUGACAGCGUUGAAAAGGAAAGGCCAAUGAUUAAUAAACCUACCUCAGCUUUUCUCAUUUGGAAAUCGUAGCAAAUUAAAAUCCCCACCAAUAAGAAUGGGGUAGGACUUAUCUUUCGCUAGAUUAACCAGUUCAUGGAGAAAAACGGCCUUGAGCUCAUCCUAGGCUGCCCCAUAACUGGCGACGAGGGUCCAUGUGAAGUUCUCAGCUUUGUUUUGGAUAUGGAGUUUAAUAUGAAACUCUCCAUCCGAACUAGCCAAAACAUCCAUAAUCCCUGUGUUAAUGCCAAGCAAAAUGCCCCCAGAACGACCUCGAGGUGGCCGUGAAAUCCAAUUAUAGUCUAUCCCACCAGCAGGCGGUUAAGCAGACUUACUGAGAAAUCAAGUCUCCCCGUUUCAGACAAAGCCAAAAAGUCUAAAUUGUACUCCAUAUUACAUUCCGCUAUGAAUAGAUGUUUAGCCCAGUCACCAAGACCUCUGCUAUUAAAGAACAUGCCAUUCAUGGAGAAACAAUAGGAGAUCUAGAAAAUUUUGCCCUCUUAGAGGGUUUACGACUUUUUUUUUUCAAAUGACUGGAUUUGGAUUUAUGACCGGAAGCUGUAAGCUCAAUCAAUGAGCUAAGCCCGGGUUCCUCCAAGGCCACAUCUGAAACCUCCCCUACUACAUGAGCGAGUAGCUGACCAUCUGAUGUGGCAUGCAGCUCCUCCUCAUCUAGAUGUGAGAUAAAAGAUUUGCUAGAAACUCGUGGAGUAACCUUUAGUCGGUCAUAUUCCAACUGUCUCAAAGCGUUAGCGGAAAUAGAAAUAUCAUUCUCAUUAUUUCCUAGACUAACACUCACAUUACUCAAUUUAGAAAUGAUGGAUGUAGUAGAAAAAGAUAAAAACGAUUUAGGUGAUGAAGAAGUACCUUGAUUGUCGAGGUUCUGCACUACUUUACGCCGCAUAGCCUUUGCCAAUGAGUCCUCAUCGGUGUCCGUCCUUCCAUCGUCGGCCACUGCAUGGCGGCCACUGCGGCGUGUGGGUGUCACACCUGAUGAAGAAUGUCGCGCCAGAAUCUCCGCCGGAGGAGAGGUUGAGGGUGUAGUAGUAACCCCCUCCCCGGCAGUCACAACCUACACGCGACGCCGCCGCAGACGAUGGCGUGACUGGACACAGGGCCACGGGAGGAGCGAGUAUGGAUGAGGCAGACUCGUUCGGCUCCAUCUGAAGAAGAACAUCC